rnacentral:rRNA from 1 species
CACGUAGGGGCCGAGCGUUGUCCGGAGUUACUGGGCGUAAAGCGCGCGCAGGCGGCCCAGCACAUCUUUGGUGAAAGCCCCGGGCUUAACCCGGGAGGGUCCAGGGAGAUGGCUGGGCUGGAGGCAGGGCGAGGGCGGUGGAAUUCCGGGUGUAGUGGUGAAAUGCGUAGAGAUCCGGAGGAACACCAGUGGCGAAGGCGGCCGCCUGGACCUGUCCUGACGCUGAGGCGCGAAGGCGUGGGGAGCGAACGGGAUUAGAAACCCCAGUAGUCC